UUAAAAUACCCUUGGUCACCAUCAUUUUGUAAUUACUUAUUGUUUAUGUUUGUUGCAGAUGAAUCAUGAAAUGAGGUUGCAUUUUGACCAGGAAUUGGAGAUAAAUAUUCAAGAUGCCGUCAAUAUGAUGACACCCAACAUUAUAAGGGUGGCUCGUAGUGGGAGUCAGAGGGGCCUUCUGUCAAGCCUGCUGGGAACUGAGACUAACAAAGAUGAUAUGUUACAGCCACACUUGCACUCUCACACACACAAUUGUAUUAAUAAAACUACAUUAUUUUAUGCAGAGAUUAUUUAUUUCUUCUGAUAUUCCAGACCUGGAAAAGAAUGCAGCAAUACUGGUUCUGCCUGCCCUAUUCAAGGAGAGCUCCAAGUUCCUUUACUGUGUAGAUGACGAACCAGCAAGCUCAUUCCCAACCACCAUCUUCCAUGAUGCAGGGAAUCCCUCCUCCUUGCUGAGAAAGCUUCAAUAAAGUUGGAUGGAGUCACUAUCACAAGUGGAGAAAUGUGUCUGCUCGAGGUGUAUUUCCUGUUUCGAGGAGUACCCCAAACAGAUACUCUCACACACUCUCAUAUAUAGAACAUUAUUUGUUCAAACUAGGAAAGGGUAAGAAAAGAGUGUCUAUACCGCUCUCAAAAUGUACAAUCAGCUUUCUCAGUGAAUAUUGACAGUGAUUUAAAUAGCUAUUUUCAAGAAAUUGUUUGCAAGGAUGAAAAAUCUUAUGACGAUUGUUCUUUGGUUUUUGCUGCUUGAAUUUAAUCUGUCACUUAUUCAGUAAAAUGUAUUGGUAAUUCCAAAUGUUGAGGAUUGCCCAGUGAUUUGUACAUAUGUAAAUCUAUCUAUCUAAUCUAUUUAAACUGAAGGAGGAAUUGUAUUUUUAUUUCACAUGUGGUGCUAUUAUAUUUGAAUGACUGUGUGCAAGGACAAUGAUUAAAUAAAAAAACAUUAUCUGUAGAAUUAAAAAUGUCAAUCUUUGUUGGAGAUUGUUGCCAUGAAGAAA